rnacentral:rRNA from 1 species
GUGGGGAAUAUUGGACAAUGGGGGGAACCCUGAUCCAGCCAUGCCGCGUGUGUGAAGAAGGCCUUUUGGUUGUAAAGCACUUUAAGCGAGGAGGAGGCUACCGAGAUUAAUACUCUUGGAUAGUGGACGUUACUCGCAGAAUAAGCACCGGCUAACUCUGUGCCAGCAGCCGCGGUAAUACAGAGGGUGCAAGCGUUAAUCGGAUUUACUGGGCGUAAAGCGCGCGUAGGUGGCCAAUUAAGUCAAAUGUGAAAUCCCCGAGCUUAACUUGGGAAUUGCAUUCGAUACUGGAUGGGUAGAGUAUGAGAGAGGAUGGUAGAAUUCCAGGUGUAGCGGUGAAAUGCGUAGAGAUCUGGAGGAAUACCGAUAGCGAAGGCAGCCAUCUGGCCUAAUACUGACACUGAGGUGCGAAAGCAUGGGGAUCAAACAGGAUUAGAAACCCGUGUAGACC